rnacentral:rRNA from 1 species
UACGGAAGGCAGCAGUGGGGAAUAUUGCACAAUGGGCGCAAGCCUGAUGCAGCCAUGCCGCGUGUAUGAAGAAGGCCUUCGGGUUGUAAAGUACUUUCAGUCGUGAGGAAGGUGUUAAGGUUAAUAACCUUAGCAAUUGACGUUAGCGACAGAAGAAGCACCGGCUAACUCCGUGCCAGCAGCCGCGGUAAUACGGAGGGUGCGAGCGUUAAUCGGAAUUACUGGGCGUAAAGGGCACGCAGGCGGUUAAUUAAGUUGGAUGUGAAAUCCCCGGGCUUAACCUGGGAAUGGCAUUCAAGACUGGUUAGCUAGAGUCUUGUAGAGGGGGUAGAAUUCCGAUGUGUAGCGGUGAAAUGCGUAGAGAUGUGGAGGAAUACCGGCGGCGAAGGCGGCCCCUGGACAAGACUGACGCUCAUGUGCGAAAGCGUGGGGAGCAAACGAGGGAUUAGAU